AAUAACAACAUUAAUUCUCUUUCUUCAUUAUUAAUGUGUUCUAGAAAGAAUUGCAUAAUCCUCCUUACCAAACGUGUCAACUAUAAGCAAAUAUGAUCACAAUUAUGCUACACAAAAAAACUCAAGAACAAGCUAAAAAAUAGGGCGAACAUGUGUUUGAAAAAUAAUUAAAAAAAAAUCCAACCAUGUGCGCCAAGUCAGUCUGUCCAGCUUUUGUCUGUGUGAACCUGUUCAACCGUCAUUAUUCUAUGAGCCAGUAACAGAUAUUCUCUUCUCAAUAAAUUUCUUUGUUCUGCUGAAUUCUCUGUCCCUCCAAUCGGCACAUGUGCCAACCCUUCAUCCCACAAUUAUGCUACACAAACAAGCUCAAGAACAAGCUAAAAAAUAGGACGAACACGUGUUUGAAAAAAAAAAUAAAAAAAAAAUCCAACCAUGUGCGCCAAGUCAGUCUAUCCAGCUUUUGUCUAUCUGUGAACCUGUUUAGCCGUCAUUAUUCUAUGAACCAGUAACUGAUAUUCUCUUCUCAAUGAAUUUCUUUGUUCUGCUGAAUUCUCUGUCCCUCCAAUCGGCACAUGUGCCAACCCUUCAUCCCCUAAUGGCUUUCAAUAUGUUCCCUGGUUUGUUGAUAUUAAACACGACCACCGCAUCGGAGAAAUAAACAGUUCUUAAAUGAAGAGAUAUUAGUCUGUCGACUCAUAUGACAAAAGAAAUUUCGACAUAUUAUAGAUGCUCACCAGGUUCUUUGCAUGAAGCUAAUGGCAGUCAAGUCCAUGACAGAGAGUUCCUUUGAAAUUACGUCUCCAUAGUAAGAAUAUCGAGGAGAUGAGUGUUAGGGUUAGAGUUCUGAUCAUCAUCAAAAACUCAAUCAAACUUCGUAGCUAGCUUUCACCACCAUGGCCACGUCCGCAUUAACUUUUUACUAUCCGGUGAAGCAACAUAAGUUCAUAAACAAAAGAAGCCAUUUAGUAUUUUAAUUAUUGAAAUAAAUAAAUGUCCUGUCCUAAUAGUUUAAGCUACUAGACGAUAUGACUUAUCAUGGUACCAAAACUGUAGAGUUUAAAGUGUAGAAUACAAAAGAUUAUUACAACUACAAUGCGGAAUAAUAAACUCUCAAAGUGUAAAACCGAACCAAAACUGACUUAAAGCUUCUUCAACACCACCAAUGAAGUGUUCUUGAUGUUGAGCUCAGAUUUGUGUCACACCGGAUCAUGCACCGUCGUCCACGGGAAUGACAAUGGAUAUACCAAGAAAGGAUCCGCCGGAAGCCAUCAAGAAUUUCGCCGGAGUUAUGGAAAUCUCCCACUUGGUUGCCUCUUUAUGCUCUUUCUCAAAUGUUAUGUCAAGUCCAAGUAGAGAGAAUGAAGAGGUCUUGAAAUUAUAGAGUCAAUUCAUUUGAAU
rnacentral:lncRNA from 1 species